rnacentral:misc_RNA from 1 species
GAUGAAGAACGUAGCGAAAUGCGAUAAGUAAUGUGAAUUGCAGAAUUCAGUGAAUCAUCGAAUCUUUGAACGCACAUUGCGCCCGCCAGUAUUCUGGCGGGCAUGCCUGUUCGAGCGUCAUUUCAACCAUCAAGCCCCCGGCUUGUUUUGGGGACCUGCGGCUGCCGCAGGCCCUGAAAAGCAGUGGCGGGCUCGCUGUCACACCGAGCGUAGUAGCAUACAUCUCGCUCUGGGCGUGCUGCGGGUUCCGGCCGUUAAACCACCUUCAUAACCCAAGGUUGACCUCGGAUCAGGUAGGAAGACCCGCUGAACUUAAGCAUAUCAAUAAGCGGAGGA